CCUACGGGUGGCAGCAGUGGGGAAUAUUGGACAAUGGGCGAAAGCCUGAUCCAGCCAUGCCGCGUGUGUGAAGAAGGCCUUCGGGUUGUAAAGCACUUUCAGUGGGGAAGAAAGCCUUGGGGCUAAUACCCUCGAGGAAGGACAUCACCCACAGAAGAAGCACCGGCUAACUCCGUGCCAGCAGCCGCGGUAAUACGGAGGGUGCGAGCGUUAAUCGGAAUUACUGGGCGUAAAGCGCGCGUAGGCGGUCUGAUAAGCCGGUUGUGAAAGCCCCGGGCUCAACCUGGGAACGGCAUCCGGAACGGUCAGGCUAGAGUGCAGGAGAGGAAGGUAGAAUUCCCGGGGUAGCGGUGAAAUGGGUAGAGAUCGGGAGGAAUACCAGUGGCGAAGGCGGCCUUCUGGACUGACACUGACGCUGAGGUGCGAAAGCGUGGGUAGCAAACAGGAUUAGAUACCCUGUAGUC
rnacentral:rRNA from 1 species